rnacentral:sRNA from 1 species
CGGUGACCUCCGUGUGGUCGGUGCGGGCGGAGUCUUCCUCGAUCCCGUGGUGCUCCGCGGCGCGGCCUUGCUCUCUUCCGGUCGCGGGACACCGGGCGUAGAGGGCGGUCGCGGCGGGCAGUGGCGGCAGAAUGUUGGCUACCAGGGUAUUUAGCCUAGUUGGCAAGCGAGCAAUUUCCACCUCUGUGUGUGUACGAGCACAUGAAAGUGUUGUGAAGAGCGAAGACUUUUCGCUCUCAGCUUAUGUGGAUCGGCGUGACCACCCCUUGCCGGAGGUGGCCCAUGUCAAGCACCUGUCUGCCAGCCAGAAGGCCUUGAAGGAGAAGGAGAAGGCCUCCUGGAGCAGCCUCUCCAUGGAUGAGAAAGUCGAGUGUGGGUAUUGAAGGGACCCACAGGCGCGCCCAGCAGCUCUUGGAAGUGUGUGUGUGUGUGUGUGUGUGUGUGUGUGUGUGUGUGUGUGUGUGUGCGUGCCUCUGCUCACUUCUGGGCCUACUGUCUAGAGAGCAGUCUUGCACAGGAGGGUUGCUGUGCUGGGUUUCGGGGUCACUGUCCCAGGGCCCCAGUUUAUGUGCUCACCAGUCACUUAGCUCUGCCAGCUGACAGAAUCUUUUGCUAGGCCCCCUUCUCUGUGCUGAGUGGAGGUAGCCUCUCAGCAUAUUUGCUGAGUAAGACAUUGUUAACUGUAAAUUACUGAAAGAAACUCAGCAAAAUGCAUAGUGUUUGAUAUGAAAGGGGCAUAAAAAUAACGAGAUUAAAUAGACCCUAACACUGUAAUUCAAGUAAGAAAUAAUUUUGCAGUUUUAAUUUGCACCUAAAGCAAACUGCAUUUUCUUCCUUUCUUGCUCUGUCACAUGCCUGCGUGGGCACGUGCGUGCACAUACGUGCAUGAACAUGAUGUGGCCCGGGUUGGUGUAUCCUUCAGCUCUGUGUUUCCUCCUUCACAAGUGUGGUUUUGGGGAGAAGUGGUUGAAUGUUGCAGAGGAGGGAGCUGCUGACCUUUGUACCUGUAAAUGGCUGUCCUCUCUGCCCCCAGUGUAUCGCAUUAAGUUCAAGGAGAGCUUUGCUGAGAUGAACAGGGGCUCGAACGAGUGGAAGACGGUUGUGGGCGGUGCCAUGUUCUUCAUCGGCUUCACCGCGCUCAUUAUCAUGUGGCAGAAGCGCCAUGGUGAGUAGAGAGGGAGGAAGGCACGGGCGCCUGGCCUGGGGCUCCAGCCUGCAGUGCCCAUUGGUGGGCUGUGGGGGACCUCCACAACUUGAGGCCGUGAGAUAGGGACUGCAUUCCAGAGUUCAUCUCAGGAUUGUUUUCCAGGCCUUGGUGACCUGGAGAACUGAAGUCGUGGGAGGUUAGUUUAUAAGCCAGCAUCUGAUUAUUCAUAGUCAGCCAUGCUUGUUGGGUGGUAAAAUACCUUAACUACUUUGUACAGCACACCACAUUUUCAGUAGCAAUUUAUGUGCUCACCAGUCACUUAGCAAAAGAUGACUUCGUGAAGGUUCGAGCAAGGAGAAGGGGACUCAUUCAUUUAAUGACUGUCUCGACUGUUGUGAGGACUGCAUCUCAACAGCCAGCAUCUGGGGAUCCCGACCUGAUAGUUUGUGUGUGGGCAUUGCUGGGUUGCUCGCUCAUGGUAACGACUCUUCUCCGAGGUUCUUUCUGUCCAGGCAGAACAGGCAUUUUUGCAUUCUGAAUAGUUAUAUUCUCGUACUUUUGGUUUGAAUGUGGAUGUGGGUUAAUAACAGACCUGAAUCUAUUUGAUCUUCCAGGUCACCUUGGGCUCUGUUUGUCAGAUCCUGUUAUCCAUAGCCUUUAGAGAGGACCUUCUGCUUUUAGCUUAUUUUGUUGCUAACUUUUUACAAACAAAGGGCUAAUUUUAAAAUGUCAGCGUUGUCAGUGGUCAGAAACCAUGUGUUUGAGUGGGUGUUGAGUGGCAGGUGGCUCUGCUGACCCAGUGGCUGGUGUGUCGGGAGGAUUUAACCUGUGUGAGGGAUUGGCGUAGAAACAACCUGUUGAGACAGUCUUGCCCAUAACCUGUCUCACACCGUAGUGUACGGCCCCCUCCCGCAAAGCUUUGACAAAGAGUGGGUGGCCAAGCAGACCAAGAGGAUGCUGGACAUGAAGGUGAACCCCAUCCAGGGCUUAGCCUCCAAGUGGGACUACGAAAAGAAUGAGUGGAAGAAGUGAGAGAUGCUGGCCUGCGCCUGCACCUGCGCCUGGCUCUGUCACCGCCAUGCAACUCCAUGCCUAUUUACUGGAAACCUGUUAUGCCAAACAGUUGUACCACUGCUAAUAAAUGACCAGUUUACCUGAAA